rnacentral:rRNA from 1 species
GUAGUCCACGCUGUAAACGAUGAGUGCUAGGUGUCGGGGCGAGAGUCUCGGUGCCGUAGUUAACACAAUAAGCACUCCACCUGGGGAGUACGUACGCAAGUAUGAAACUCAAAGGAAUUGACGGGGGCCCGCACAAGCGGUGGAGCAUGUGGUUUAAUUCGACGCAACGCGAAGAACCUUACCAAGUCUUGACAUCUCUCUGACCGGCAUAGAAAUAUGCCUUCCCUUCGGGGCAGAGAUGACAGGUGGUGCAUGGUUGUCGUCAGCUCGUGUCGUGAGAUGUUUGGUUAAGUCCAGCAACGAGCGCAACCCUUAUCUUUAGUAGCCAGCAGGUUAAGCUGGGCACUCUAGAGAGACUGCCGUGGAUAACACGGA